rnacentral:rRNA from 1 species
GCUCAGGACGAACGCUGGCGGCGUGCCUAAUACAUGCAAGUCGAGCGGACAGAAGGGAGCUUGCUCCCGGAUGUUAGCGGCGGACGGGUGAGUAACACGUGGGUAACCUGCCUGUAAGACUGGGAUAACUCCGGGAAACCGGAGCUAAUACCGGAUAGUUCCUUGAACCGCAUGGUUCAAGGAUGAAAGACGGUUUCGGCUGUCACUUACAGAUGGACCCGCGGCGCAUUAGCUAGUUGGUGAGGUAACGGCUCACCAAGGCGACGAUGCGUAGCCGACCUGAGAGGGUGAUCGGCCACACUGGGACUGAGACACGGCCCAGACUCCUACGGGAGGCAGCAGUAGGGAAUCUUCCGCAAUGGACGAAAGUCUGACGGAGCAACGCCGCGUGAGUGAUGAAGGUUUUCGGAUCGUAAAGCUCUGUUGUUAGGGAAGAACAAGUGCAAGAGUAACUGCUUGCACCUUGACGGUACCUAACCAGAAAGCCACGGCUAACUACGUGCC